GAGUUUGAUCUUGGCUCAGAUUGAACGCUGGCGGCAUGCCUUACACAUGCAAGUCGAACGGUAACAGGUCUUCGGAUGCUGACGAGUGGCGAACGGGUGAGUAAUACAUCGGAACGUGCCCGAUCGUGGGGGGAUAACGGAGCGAAAGCUUUGCUAAUACCGCAUACGAUCUACGGAUGAAAGCAGGGGACCGCAAGGCCUUGCGCGGGACGGAGCGGCCGAUGGCAGAUUUAGGUAGUUGGUGGGAUAAAAGCUUACCAAGCCGACGAUCUGUAGCUGGUCUGAGAGGAC
rnacentral:rRNA from 1 species